UGGCGAACGGGUGAGUAACACGUGGGUGAUCUGCCCCUUACUUUGGGAUAAGCCUGGGAAACUGGGUCUAAUACUGGAUAGGACCAUGCUGUAGGUGGUGUGGUGGAAAGAUUAGUUUCGGUAAGGGAUGAGCUCGCGGCCUAUCAGCUUGUUGGUGGGGUAAUGGCCUACCAAGGCGUCGACGGGUAGCCGGCCUGAGAGGGUUGACGGCCACAUUGGGACUGAGAUACGGCCCAG
rnacentral:rRNA from 1 species